rnacentral:rRNA from 1 species
AACGCUGGCGGCGUGCUUAACACAUGCAAGUCGAACGAGACGAUUGAAAGCUUGCUUUUGAAAGUCGAGUGGCAAACGGGUGAGUAACGCGUAGACAACCUGCCUCUCAGAUGGGGACAACAUCCCGAAAGGGGUGCUAAUACCGAAUGUUGUGCAACUUCCACAUGGAGGAUGCACCAAAGGUGGUUUCGGCCACCGCUUUGCGAUGGGUCUGCGUCUGAUUAGCUAGUUGGUGGGGCAACGGCCUACCAAGGCGACGAUCAGUAGCCGGUCUGAGAGGAUGAACGGCCACAUUGGAACUGAGACACGGUCCAGACUCCUACGGGAGGCAGCAGUGGGGAAUCUUCCGCAAUGGGCGAAAGCCUGACGGAGCAACGCCGCGUGAGUGAAGAAGGUCUUCGGAUCGUAAAGCUCUGUUGUCGGGGACGAAUGUUGAGAUCUAGAAUAUAGAUUUCAAAUGACGGUACCUGACGAGGAAGCCACGGCUAACUACGUG